rnacentral:rRNA from 1 species
AUGAACGCUAGCGGCAGGCUUAAUACAUGCAAGUCGUGGGGCAGCAUGAGUAGCAAUACUUGAUGGCGACCGGCAAACGGGUGAGGAACACGUACACAACCUUCCUUCAAGCGGGGAAUAGCCCAGAGAAAUUUGGAUUAAUACCCCAUAAUAUAUUUGAUAAGGCAUCUUAUUAAUAUUAAAGCUUCAGCACUUGAUGAUGGGUGUGCGGCUGAUUAGAUAGUUGGCGGGGUACCGGCCCACCAAGUCUACGAUCAGUAGCUGAUGUGAGAGCAUGAUCAGCCACACGGGCACUGAGACACGGGCCCGACUCCUACGGGAGGCAGCAGUAAGGAAUAUUGGACAAUGGACGAGAGUCUGAUCCAGCCAUGCCGCGUGAAGGAUUAAGGUCCUCUGGAUUGUAAACUUCUUUUAUAUGGGACGAAAAAAGGGCAUUCUUGUUCACUUGACGGUACCAUAUGAAUAAGCACCGGCUAACUCCGUG